GAUGAACGCUGGCGGCGUGCUUAACACAUGCAAGUCGAACGAUGAAGCUCAGCUUGCUGGGUGGAUUAGUGGCGAACGGGUGAGUAACACGUGAGUAACCUGCCCUUAACUCUGGGAUAAGCCUGGGAAACUAGGUCUAAUACCGGAUAGGAGCGCCUACCGCAUGGUGGGUGUUGGAAAGAUUUAUCGGUUUUGGAUGGACUCGCGGCCUAUCAGCUUGUUGGUGAGGUAAUGGCUCACCAAGGCGACGACGGGUAGCCGGCCUGAGGGGGUGACCGGCCACACUGGGACUGAGACAGGGGCCAGACUCCUACGGGAGGCAGCAGUGGGGAAUAUUGCACAAUGGGCGAAAGCCUGAUGCAGCGACGCCGCGUGAGGGAUGACGGCCUUCGGGUUGUAAACCUCUUUCAGUAGGGAAGAAGCGAAAGUGACGGUACCUGCAGAAGAAGCACCGGCUAACUACGUG
rnacentral:rRNA from 1 species